rnacentral:rRNA from 1 species
CUAGCGUUGCUCGGAAUCACUGGGCGUAAAGGGUGCGUAGGCGGGGCUUUAAGUCAGGGGUGAAAUCCUGGAGCUCAACUCCAGAGCUGCCUUUGAUACUGAGGAUCUUGAGUACGGGAGAGGUGAGUGGAACUGCGAGUGUAGAGGUGAAAUUCGUAGAUAUUCGCAAGAACACCAGUGGCGAAGGCGGCUCACUGGCCCGUUACUGACGCUGAGGCACGAAAGCGUGGGGAGCAAACAGG